CUGUGGGGUAUGCAGGAUCUUAGUUCUCAACCAAGCAUCAAACCUGUGUCCCUACAGUGGAAAUGUGGAGUCCUAACCAAUGGACCACUAGGGAAAUUCCUAUUUCUAGUAGCUUUAUCUUGAUUCUUGCUCAAUAAAUAACUUGUUGAAAGAGUAUGUCAGGUGCCAGAUCUGUGAGGGAAAUAAUUUUUUAAAAGAUCUUUUUAAGUCCUUAUCCUUGACCUCUUUGAAGCAUCUGACAUAAUUGAUCAAUCACUCCUUUUUCUUGAAAUGGCUCACUUCUAGUUCUUGUCAGUCUCUGUGACUGAUGACUGACUGGUCUUUCUCUGUCCUUCACUGACUCUCUGCUGUCCUCUAAAAUAUAAGUGAUCUCCUAAAUUCUACUCUGGAGCUCUCCGUUCCAUCACUAGUGGUUGCCAAACUUUCUUGAUCACAGUUAUUUAUUAAUGUAUAUAUCUCAACAUAUAUAUUGCUCUGCAUAUAUCUGUAAGAUUACCACUAAUUCACAGAUGUGAAAUCCAUGAAUAAUGAUGAUUAGCUGUAUAUGCACAUACAUUUUGUUGUUGUUCAGUCAUGUCUGACUGUUUGCGACCCCAGGGUCUGCAGCACUCCAGGCUUCCCUGUCCUUCAUUACCUCCUGGAAUUUGCUCAAAUUCAUGUCCAUUGAGUUGGUGAUGCUAUCUAACCAUCUUAUCCUCUGCCAUACCUUCUCCUUUUGCCUUCAGUCUUUCCCAGCAUCAGGGUCUUUUCUAAUGAGUCAAUUCUUUGCAUAAGGUGGCCAAAGUAUUGGAGCUUCAGCUCCAGCAUCAGUCCUUUCAAUUAAUAUUUAGGGUUGAUUUCCUUUGGGAUUGACUGGUUGGAUCUCCUUACAGUCCAAGGGACUCUCGAAAGUCUUCUCCAGCACCACAAUCCAAAAACGUCAAUUCUUUGCUGCUCAGCCUUCUUUAUGGUCCAACACUCACAUCCAUACAUGACUACUGGAAAAACCAUAGCUUUGACUAUACAGACCUUUGUCAGCAAAGUGAUGUUUCUGCUUUUUAAUAUGCUGUCUAGGUUUGUCAUAGCUUCCAAGCAGCAAGUGUCUGCUGCCAGACAAUUUCGUGGCUGCAGUUACCAUCUGCAGUGAUUUUGGAGCCCAAGGAAAUAAAAUCUGUCACUGUUUCUACUUUUUCCGCAUCUAUUUGCCAUGAAAUGAUGGGACUGAAUGCCAUGAUCUUAGUUUUUUGGAUGUUGAAUUUUAAGCCAGCUUUUUCACUGUCCUCUUUCAUCUUCAUCAAGAGGCUCUUUAGUUCCUCUUCACUUUCUGCCAUUAGAGUGAUAUCAUCUGCAUAUCUGAGGUUAUUGAUAUUUCUCGUGGCAAUCUUGAUUCCAGCUUGUGAGUCAUCCAGCCUGCCAUUUCACAUGAUGUACUUUGCAUAUAAGUUAAAUAAGCAGGGUGGCAACAUACAGCCUUGACAUACUCCUUUCCAAAUUUGGAACCAGUUAGUUGUUCCAUGUCCACUUCUAACUGUUGCUUCUUGUCUGAAUACAGGUCUCUCAGGAGACAGGUGUGGUAUUCUCAUGUUCCUGUCUCUUUAUGAAUUUUCCAGUUUGUUAUGAUCCGCAUAGUCAAAGGCUUUAGUGUAGUCAAUGAAGAUGUAAUUUUUUAAAUUCCCUUGCCUUUUCUAUGAUCCAAUGAAUGUUGGUAAUUUGAUACCUGGUUCCUCUUCAGUUCAGUUCAUUCACUCAGUCAAGUCCAACGCUUUGUGACCCCAUGGACUGAGCACGCCAGGCUUCCCUGCCCAUCACCAACUCCCAGGGCUUGCUCAUACUCAUGUCCAUCAAGUCAGUGAUGCCAUCCAAACAUCUCAUCCUCUGUCUGCCUUUUCUAAAUCCAGCUUGUACAUCUGGAAGUUCUCAGUUCACGUACUGUUGAAGCCUAGCUUAUUAAGACUUUUGAGGAUUACCUUGAUAGCAUGUUAAAAUAGUAUGGCCAUAAAUAAAACAAACUGGUUUCUUCUCAUACUUCAGGGCUUCCUUUCCCUGUUGGCUUUGAGGCAUGAGGGUGGUAAGAUGUCAGUUUUUUUUUUUUUCUGGCCAUGGUGCAAGAUUUGUGGGAUUUUAGUUCCCCAACCAGGGAUUGCAACCCAGGACCUCAGCAGUGAGAGUACAGAAUUCUAGCCACUGGACUGCCAGAAAACCCCUGAGAUGUCCUUUUUGUUUUUUGGCUGCACUGGGUCUUAUUGCAGCAUGUGGGAUCCAGUUCCUUGAUCUGGGAUCAAACCAAGGCCCUCCCACCUUGGCAAAGGGAGCUUGAAGUCUUAGCCAUUGGACCACCAGAGUAGUCCCAGGCCUCAUUUUAAAGUGAGCUUGAAAGCUAUAGCUACUUAGUUGAAUUAUUGUGGGGAUUAAAUAAAAUAAUGUACUUAAUCACACGAUCUAGCAGAUAAUAAAAACUGGAUGAAUGUCAGGUAUUCCACUUUUUCACUCUCCUCUUUCAAGAGGCUCUUCAGUUCUUCACUUUCUGCCAAAAAAGGUGGUGUCAUCUGAAUAUCUGAGGUUAUUGAUAUUUCUCUUGGCAAUCUUGAUUCCAGCUUGUGCUUCCUCCAGCCCAGCGUUUCUCAUGAUGUACUCUGCAUAUAAGUUAG
ensembl:lncRNA